rnacentral:rRNA from 1 species
UACGUAGGUGGCAAGCGUUGUCCGGAUUUACUGGGCGUAAAGAGCGCGCAGGCGGUCGAUCAAGUCGCGUGUGAAAGCCCCGGGCUCAACCCGGGAAGUGCACUCGAUACUGCCAAGCUAGAGUAUCGGAGAGGUUGGUGGAAUUCUCGGUGUAGAGGUGAAAUUCGUAGAUAUCGAGAGGAACACCGGUGGCGAAGGCGGCCAACUGGACGAAUACUGACGCUGAGACUCGAAAGCGUGGGGAGCAAACAGG